rnacentral:lncRNA from 1 species
AGUUCCUUUCUAACUUAUAACAUGAUUUAUGAUGUUGCAUAUUGACAUUCUCUUCCUAACUUGUGAGCUCACUUUGUUAGCAGACAAUCUUUUAUGUCUAGAGAAGAUUUUUGUUGACAUCAGUUUUCUUGAUACUCUCGGAGUGACAUCUUUUAUUUUUCAAAGAAUGAGAUAGUUUGAUAAAGUCUUGAUGGACGAAGGCUCCAAGGAUAGGCCGAGUGAAGUGGUGCAACGACGAACUAGACCUCCUCGAAGCUUCUCCGACGAGAAGACACAACGGAAAUGAUGAAGACGAAGCUCUACAAGAGCUGACUCGAAGGAAACUGAGAGAAAUCGUAGACGAACACAGGAAACCCUAAAACCUAAGUUAAUCGAUGGAAAACCCUAGAAAAGGGGGAAAACUCAAAUUAGAUCGAUUAAACGGAGGGAAUGGUGGUUUAAUCGGUGGAAAUCAAAGCACAAGCGAUGGAAAGGCUUUUGUUCGGUGAAAUCGACAGAAAAAGUGAAAACAAUGAAGAAACCCUAAGUUAUGGAGGUUAUUCUGUGUAGAAGAUGAAGAGGAACGGUGAGAUACGAAGAACAAUGGUAAAUCUAUGGAGAAGAGUGGCGGAUCUAUGAAGAACUUGACAAACCUGUGAAGAACUUUCGAGAGAGAAUGACUCUCGAGGAAGAAGACGCGAAGAGCAAAAUUGUGAGAAAUGAGGUGAGUGAGGUGUCUGAUGCGCAAGGACGAAAAGUAGAUGUGGUGAGGAUUGAUGACGCGUGCCACAGAAAAAUGAAAUGGCUUCUGAUGUGCGGAUGAAGUGUGCGUUGAAGUGGCUAAUGAGCAAGCAUGGAGGAUGAGAGAGAAAGCACGAUGGAGAAAUCUAGGAAAAUGAAAAUGGAGGUUAUGUGCCUUGGAAGGUGGUUAGAGGGAGUCUUUGGACUCUCUAGCCUUGUAACUUUCAAGAGAGAAUAGUUUCUUGAAUUUAGAAAUUCUAUUCUCAUUAAUCUCAAACGUCAAAAUACAAUAGAGGAGUUGGGUAUUUAUAGUGACCCAAGCUCCUUGCAAGCUAAGCUACAGGUACAAUGAAAUGUAAAAAUACGAGAAAGAGGAUUGUGUCAGAAGGAUUCCA